UAGAUGGAUGCUCGCUGGAUAGGGCACUUAGCUGUUAACUAAGAAUUUGUAGGAUCGAGGCCUUCUCAUCUAG
rnacentral:tRNA from 1 species